CAUCCCCCGCUCCGUUUUCUUUAUUCGCCCAAUAUUUAUCCCCCAAUGGUGUGAGACGCCCCCUCCUGCUCUCCUGUCCAAGCUAAAUCGGCAGCCGCUAGGCUCCUUACAUGUCGCAGCUCAGACGAUCGAGAAGGAGAAUUGAGAAGGAUAGAUCAGGUGGCGACUGUGAGGGACAGAGAAGGCCUGAAAACAUGGUGGCGGCUGGGUCGACGGGAGAGAGAAGGGGCGUGCUGUGGCGGCCUCCAGGUCACUGCCGUGUCGCCUACCGUCUCCCUCGGACAGGUGAGUUCACCGUCGAUGAUGCCUCCUCCAACCACGUGUGGUACCCGUGGUCCUGGUCAAGCCCCAGGUUCGUUGCAAACUUCCAACAGAUAAUGGCGAGGAGACGCAAUUCCCUAGCAGCAAUUUUCUUUUAGAGACCUGCUGAUGAUUUGCGUGGGGAUGUUGUUGGCCAUGUGUGUUAGGGUCACAGCUCAUGGGAGAGAUGUCAGAGCUCAGUCAGUUAUAUAGGGGACUACAUCGAGGUCGAGGUACACAUGUACUGAACGUUCAUCCUGUGUAGUUGUCGUAGCAUGACCAGGUAUAGUAGGGAAGUACCGAAGUAGCAUUUGUAAUGGGCGCAAGCAAAUAUUGCUUUACUACAGAAGCAGCAAAAACUUAGCGUAUGUUGGCAGCCACCACAACAUGUCAAGCGAUAGCAUGAGCAAAUCGGAGAACGAGUAGUUGUGGAC